GCUGUUUCUUCAUCAAGAAAGUGAGAUAUCGGUGCUUUCCUACAGAUUGAGGAGACCGAAUGAAACUCAAGAAUGUGUGGAAUCAUGAGAUUAUGUCCCUGUGAGUUUGCAGAACUCAGCUUGAAAGACCAUUGAGACAGGUGAAACGAUAAGUUGCUGUCAGUGCUCAGGAAAACUGGAGCCCCAACUGUACAGCACUUCCUCUCGACUCGCCUCAUUUUCUCCUUCGCAUUUGGAUUUCCUGUCCCAAGUGGUUUCAAGCCAAGGAUAGAUGAUAUUGUAGCAAGAAUUCAUGCAUUGGCUGGAAAAUGAUAAGAGCACGUACCCUGUGGAAAAAAAGAAUGGGCAAAAAGGAUCAGCCAAUGACGUGGCAGUUAAGGCAGCUGAAUCC